UACGUAGGGUCCGAGCGUUGUCCGGAAUUAUUGGGCGUAAAGGGCUCGUAGGCGGUUCGUCACGUCGGGAGUGAAAACUCGGGGCUUAACCCCGAGCCUGCUUCCGAUACGGGCAGACUAGAGGUAGGCAGGGGAGGGCGGAACUCCUGGUGUAGCGGUGGAAUGCGCAGAUAUCAGGAAGAACACCGGUGGCGAAGGCGGCUCUCUGGGCCUUACCUGACGCUGAGGAGCGAAAGCCAGGGGAGCAAACGGG
rnacentral:rRNA from 1 species